AGAGUGCUAAAUUUAUCUUCAGACCAGCGACCGCGCCAGCCGCGAAUCGGAUCUCUAUGGAGAUGGCCUAGGCGAUAUCCCUGAGCUGAGAGCAUCACCCUGUCCCCGAAUCCUUCUUUCCUCUCUGUUUUGUUUUUCAUUCCCCUCCCUCUCUCCCCUCCCCCUCCAGUCCACGACGACUGGCUGUUGACCCUGUUCAGGCCUCGGUGAAGGCUUUUGGUUACUCCCCUUCCCACCCCAUCCCUUAAUUUUAUUCUUUUGAAGAGUGCAUUUCAAGCUGCCAAGGUGAAGAGAGGGAUUACAGAAAGGAGAACACCUUAUUUCAGUCCUUUUCCCCUAACCUCCUUGGAGACUCUAGAUUCCUGCUCUUAAGUCCAAGUCCGUUAUCUGAGACCCUGCUGUCUGCUACUAGACCUUUUUAAUGCUGACCCUACCCAUUUUGGUUCUUGAUGCCAGCUGUUCACCUCAUCUGUAACGUAUCAGGACUAAAUUAUGGAUACCAUGCACAGCUAGUGAGAAUGGACUUUUAGUACCU
rnacentral:sRNA from 1 species